GAUGAACGCUGGCGGCGUGCCUAAUACAUGCAAGUCGAGCGAACAGACGAGGAGCUUGCUCCUUUGACGUUAGCGGCGGACGGGUGAGUAACACGUAGGUAACCUACCUAUAAGACUGGGAUAACUUCGGGAAACCGGAGCUAAUACCGGAUAAUAUUUCGAACCGCAUGGUUCGAUAGUGAAAGAUGGCUUUGCUAUCACUUAUAGAUGGACCUGCGCCGUAUUAGCUAGUUGGUAAGGAAACGGCUUACCAAGGCAACGAUACGUAGCCGACCUGAGAGGGUGAUCGGACACACUGGAACUGAGACACGGUCCAGACUCCUACGGGAGGCAGCAGUAGGGAAUCUUCCGCAAUGGGCGAAAGCCUGACGGAGCAACGCCGCGUGAGUGAUGAAGGUCUUCGGAUCGUAAAACUCUGUUAUUAGGGAAGAACAAACGUGUAAGUAACUGUGCACGUCUUGACGGUACCUAAUCAGAAAGCCACGGCUAACUACGUG
rnacentral:rRNA from 1 species